rnacentral:rRNA from 1 species
GACGAACGCUGGCGGCGUGCUUAACACAUGCAAGUCGAACGGAAAGGCCCUGCUUUUGUGGGGUGCUCGAGUGGCGAACGGGUGAGUAACACGUGAGUAACCUGCCCUUGACUUUGGGAUAACUUCAGGAAACUGGGGCUAAUACCGGAUAGGAGCUCCUGCUGCAUGGUGGGGGUUGGAAAGUUUCGGCGGUUGGGGAUGGACUCGCGGCUUAUCAGCUUGUUGGUGGGGUAGUGGCUUACCAAGGCUUUGACGGGUAGCCGGCCUGAGAGGGUGACCGGCCACAUUGGGACUGAGAUACGGCCCAGACUCCUACGGGAGGCAGCAGUGGGGAAUAUUGCACAAUGGGCGGAAGCCUGAUGCAGCAACGCCGCGUGCGGGAUGACAGCCUUCGGGUUGUAAACCGAUUUCGCCUGUGACGAAGCGUGAGUGACGGUAAUGGGUAAAGAAGCACCGGCUAACUACGUG